rnacentral:tRNA from 1 species
GGAGAGGUGACCGAGUGGUUGAUGGUACCGGUCUUGAAAACCGGCAAGGUGUAAAAGCCUUCGAGGGUUCGAAUCCCUCCCUCUCCGCCA